rnacentral:rRNA from 1 species
CUACGGGUCGCUCCAGUGAGGAAUAUUGCACAAUGGGGGGAACCCUGAUGCAGCAACGCCGCGUGGAGGAUGACGCAUUUCGGUGUGUAAACUCCUUUUAUAUGUCAAGAAAAUGACGGUAGCAUAUGAAUAAGCACCGGCUAACUCCGUGCCAGCAGCCGCGGUAAUACGGAGGGUGCAAGCGUUACUCGGAAUCACUGGGCGUAAAGGACGCGUAGGCGGGGUUGGAAGUCAGGUGUGAAAUCCUACAGCUUAACUGUAGAACUGCACUUGAAACUUCUAUUCUAGAGUAUGGGAGGGGGAGAUGGAAUUAGUGGUGUAGGGGUAAAAUCCGUAGAUAUCACUAGGAAUACCUAAAGCGAAGGCGAUCUCCUGGAACAUUACUGACGCUAAGGCGUGAAAGCGUGGGGAGCAAACAGGAUUAGAUACCCGCGUAGUC